rnacentral:rRNA from 1 species
UACAGAGGUCUCGAGCGUUGUUCGGAUUCAUUGGGCGUAAAGGGUGCGUAGGCGGCGCGGUAAGUCGGGUGUGAAAUCUCGGAGCUUAACUCCGAAACUGCAUUCGAUACUGCCGUGCUUGAGGACUGGAGAGGAGACUGGAAUUUACGGUGUAGCGGUGAAAUGCGUAGAUAUCCGAAGGAACAUCAGUGGCGAAGGCGGGUCUCUGGACAGUUCCUGACGCUGAGGCACGAAGGUCAGGGGAGCAAACGGG